GGAAAUUCAAGGGGAACUUAUAUCUGAAGAUGCUGCUCAUGAUGGUGAAGCAGAUAAAGGUAUCUGUUAAAGCACAUGAUGCAUGAUAUGAUACACCUUUCAUGCAAAAUGAUGUGUCAGACAUACAUGUAUAAUACACUUUCACCUAUUUUAAGUAGUUUUUGAGAAAAACCAAUUUAAAUUUCACCUAUUUUAAAUAAAUAGUUUUUGAGAAAAACCAAUUCAAAUUUUAUUUCUUAAAAUGAUUAUCAUAUUAGGGUUGAAAAUGGAUGACAAAAAAGUGAAACUGCAUGGAAGCAUUAUGCAUGCAUUGUUAAUGGCACAUGUGGAAUAUUGAAGGUUAAGUGCAAUUGUUGUUCGAAUGAAUAUUGGGAGGUGUUAUUUCAAUGGAACAUGUACCAUUCGAAUAUUAACUUUGAGGAUGAUUUUUGUGUCUUCGUGCCUUUUUUGGUAGUUUGGUUGCUAUUGUUUUGUUUGUAUACACUGUGUAUACCUUUUAAACAUGGCACAUAAACUCACAUAAUUUUUGUAUUCCAUACAAGCAUAUACUAUAUAGUUAUACUUUUAUAUGAUAUAAUUUUUUUGUUGUAUUCGUUCUAGACUUGUACAUGCUUGAACCCUUUGGCAUGUGGCAUGAUGGUAUCUUUUAGUAACUAGUUGGAGUUUAGAACUUUUUUUCCCUCCCAAUUUUAUUACAAACAAACAUUUCAUUGAUAUAAAAUAAUGAAGUUCAAAGAAGAAUGAUAAUUUCUUACCCCCUCAGGGAGGUAGAAAUCCCCCACAGAAGAGAUCAAAUUUUUAGCUCCUUGAUUUCCUAAACAAAUUCACCAAAUGAUCGGCAAAGUGAGAAAUCAAACAAAAGGGGCACCUCAAUUCUGAAGCAAUAUAAAAGAUUUGGUGAAGCCUUGCAUCCAACUUCCAUGAGCCUCUUUCUUUCUUAUUCAUCUAAGGAAUGACCACCUUUGAAUCUCCCUCCAUUGAAAGAUAGGAAAGACCCUUAGCUUCAGUGAGCUUCAACCUUUCCAACAAGGCUAGAGCCUUUGCCUUAAUGGCUAGAACCUCUCCUGUAUGUUUAGAGAAUCCUGUUACAAAGCUAGUGUUUCAAGCUGAUUCCUGAGUGUCCAUCAAAUUCAUAUUUGUCCUGGAUUAUCCCAGAUUACUUGAAGAGUAUCCAUCCAAAUUUAGUUUAACACAACCCACUAGAGGAGUCCAAAUAGGGAGUGUCUCCUUUGACAGCCUAGUGGAUUUGUCCACUAGGUUCCAUUCUAGCAAUAUAAUAAACAAAGGAAUGCCCUCAAAUGUUACACAAGCUGACAUCCAAAAGGAAACGGAGAAAUGGAAUAAAUCUCACAAUGCCUUAAAAGUCCUUCAUCUAUCCUAAAAAAUCUUGCGUUCUUCUCCCUUCAUCCCACUGAACAGUCCAUAUUAAGGUGUGACUAGCAAUACAUCAUAAUGACUUGCCUCUAGGAAGACUUUCAAAACCUGGGUAAGAAAUAAUCGACAUCUCCACCACACUUCGAGGUGAAACCCAGUCAAUCCCAGCAACAUACA
rnacentral:lncRNA from 1 species